ACCUCUUCGCAGUGGCAGUAUCGUAGCCUAUGAGGUCAACUGAAAGUGAUUAUUGCUAGUUGAAAACUUUAAUUCAAUUCCCGCCUUGACGACUGAAAUAUAGUCGGCAAUGGUAAUUUUGAUGGUCUCUAUGGAGA